AACACAUGCAAGUCGAACGGUAAGGCCCUUCGGGGUACACGAGUGGCGAACGGGUGAGUAACACGUGGGUGAUCUGCCCUGCACUUCGGGAUAAGCCUGGGAAACUGGGUCUAAUACCGGAUAGGACCAUGGACUUCACGGUUUGUGGUGGAAAGCUUUUGCGGUGUGGGAUGGGCCCGCGGCCUAUCAGCUUGUUGGUGGGGUAAUGGCCUACCAAGGGCGACGACGGGUAGCCGGCCUGAGAGGGUGUCCGGCCACACUGGGACUGAGAUACGGCCCAGACUCCUACGGGAGGCAGCAGUGGGGAAUAUUGCACAAUGGGCGCAAGCCUGAUGCAGCGACGCCGCGUGAGGGAUGACGGCCUUCGGGUUGUAAACCUCUUCAAUAGGGACGAAGCGCAAGUGACGGUACCUAUAGAAGAAGCACCGGCCAACUACGUG
rnacentral:rRNA from 1 species